rnacentral:misc_RNA from 1 species
AAGUCGUAACAAGGUAACCGUAGGUGAACCUGCGGUUGGAUCAUUAAUAAAUUCAACCUAAAAGACUCUGUUCCCUAACCGGGCAGUUUCUUUUUACACACAAUGUGAACCGUUUAUUGUCUCUGGUGGUGUUAAAAAGCGUUUCGUCAAGGAACGCCGGGGGAAACCUCACCCACCUUCUACCUAAACUUUAAAUUCUAUCUAAUUUGGCCUUUAUAUCUAAUUAAAAAAAGUUAAUUAAAAAACAACUUUUGGCAACGGAUCUCUAGGCUCUU